GGCACCCGAGCGGGAGAGCCCCGCCUGUGCCGCGCAGCCGCUCCCCGCCCCGGCCCUGCGCUCGUCUCUCCAGCAAGGCACUGCUUUUUGGGCUUCGGGUCCAAAAACACGUCCUUGAGAUAAUGAACGCAAGUCUCAACUUUCUGUGGAAAUCCCUGCUCUAAGAAGACAUGAGCUCUGUCUUCACUUUCAGCCUCAGAAGGCAGCAGCUGAAGAAUGACCCAAAAAUAAAAUUCUGAUGAUGAAAAGAUACUUGCCAAAAACCAUCUGAGCCCUCCAGCUUCUCCAGAUUUAUCCUGCAAGAUACCAGCAGCCUGGGAAUGAAACGAUGGGAGACAUUUAAGGCACUAAAUUACUAAUGUAGAGUGCACAUCUCUUGUUCAGGAGAUGAGAAUCAAAGAUGCUUUCUCUGUAAAACAGAAAUCAGAGGCUGUUCUUUAUAUUUGGAAGACUGUAUCAUUAACUUCAGUACAAAAAGGUAGCCCCACGAAAUAUUAGAAAACAGGAUGCAAAAAAAUGAUGCCAGGAAUGGCCAACUCUCAAUCUGAUAACCACACCACUGGAAGGAAAAAGGAUCCUUCAGGAUCAUUCCUCAAAAAUGAUUGUAGACUCCUGUUGCCCAUUUCCAAACAUUUAGCUCAAAUGAAUGCAGUAAUUCACAGUUCACAUCGAGUUUGAGGUUCAGAAUUUGUAACGUACAGUUCACUUGGGAUUUAAAUACAUGGUCAGUAAGUUGAACAACUUCUGAAACAUCCACCUUUCAUUUAAAA